CAUUCAGGGAGAAGGAGCCAUUACAGUCAGCUCUGUUGUGGAAUCGUUUUUUUAGGAAAAUUCCUGCGUUUUAAAACACAUUCCUAUUUUUGUACUGACUACAAUAAUGGAGCCAUUCUCUGACCAGAUUGUGAUGUUCAUGCUGGCUGCAAGCAUGGAGGAAAAGAGUGCUGGUGAACAUCAGGAUCAAGAUCAGCAAAUGUCUGCAUUGGGUGAGCCAGUAUUGCGGGUUUCAUUUCCACGUCCACGCCAGUAUCGCACUAGGCGUGAACUGGAGGAUCUCAGCGAGUUCGAGGUGAUACAAAAUUAUCGCUUAUCGACUCGCGACAUAUAUUCGCUGUACGCUCUGUUGGAGGCCUGUCCUGGAACCUCGGGCACGGUCCAACCGUGCAGUCAGCGGUUUCCAGAAACUGCUGGGUACGUUACAUUUUUUGGCGUCAGGCACAUUCCAGCCUACACUGUCUCAAACAUGCGGUUUUUCACAGUCGACACUGUCGCGCUGUAUAACCCAGGUCAUUAGGGCUUUCCGCAAAUUGACCAUCCAGUACAUCACAUUUCCAGAGACGGAUAGCGAAUGUCGUGAGAUCAAAUUAGGCUUUUUCACCAAAUACAAAUUUCCCAAUGUGCUGGGCGCGAUUGACUGUACCCACGUGCAGAUCGGACCGCCACGGAAUUCAGAAGAAUGUUUUCGGAACCGAAAACAUUUCCAUUCCCUGAAUGUACAGGCGGUCUGUGAUGUCAACAUGAGAUUUUUGAACAUUUUUGUGGGAUUUCCUGGAUCGUCUCACGACUCCUUCAUCCUAAGCCAGUCAUCACUGUUUGACAAGUUCGAAACAGGAAACAUGCCUGGUGGCUGGCUGCUAGGUGAUGCGGGUUAUCCAAACAAAUCGUGGCUCUUGACCCCAUUGUCUAAUCCUGUUGGUAGAGCAGAAAAACGUUACCAAGAGACACACAUUGCAUCGAGGCAAAUAAUUGAACGUACCUUCGGUGUACUUAAAAGCCGGUUUCGAUGUUUAGACACUUCCAGCGGUGCUCUUUUGUACUCACCGGCGAAGGUUUGCGGCAUGGUAAAUGCAUGUUGUAUUUUACACAACAUAUGUGUCGCAAACCGUUUGCCGGUGACUCUUCGUCGCAGUGCUUUCCGACGCGGGAACCGUUCUUCUGCUGUACCGGUGGGUAUGGAUGAAGGAGAUGAUUCCCGGCGGACAGUGAUACAAAACUUUUUUUCGGUUGCCUAGUUUUACGUCCUGUUGAUGUGCAUUCCCAGGCCUGUUUUGUCCUGUUGACGAAUCGUUACCCCCUGUUUUCUCCUGUUGUUGGUUUGCUGCAAAUUUUGGACCAUUUUAUCCAACUCUACCAUGGGCGACCUACUUGUGAUGUGGACCUGACCCUCCGCCAUGUAGCAGACAACCCCCCUCAGGUCUUGCGGUGUUUCCUUCCCAAGUGGCGUGGAUGUGAAGAUACACACAGUUCCAAUGAUGUUCCAUGGGCAACCAACUUGUGAUGUGGACCUGACCCUCCGCCAUGUAGCAGACAACCCCCCCUCAGGUCUUGCGGUGUUUCCUUCCAAAGUGGCGUGGAUGUGAAGAGACACACAGUUCCCCUGAUGUUCCAUGGGCGACCAACUUGUGAUGUGGACCUGACCCUCCGCCAUGUAGCAGACAACCCCCCCUCAGGUGAGAUGUAUUUCCCUAAACUCCCUCUUGUCCAAGUCACCCCGACAUGUCCAAAGUGCAGCCCUCCGGCAUUUGCCAAACUGCACAUCCAAUCAUUCCCUGAUACACCAAUACUGGUCAAGGGAAUGUUUGGAUGUGUAGUGACGCAAGUGCCGGGGGAUUGCAUUUGGGCCCACUGUAACCUGCUUGUGUCGUGUCGAUUGUACCUCUUCUUUUCAGUACCAGGGUGACACUUUACCAUUAGCUGGAACCUCAUACUGUUCUCUUCCACAGGUCUUGCGGUGUUUCCUUCCCAAGUGGCGUGGAUGUGAAGAGACACACAGUUCCCCUGAUGUUCCAUGGGCGACCAACUUGUGAUGUGGACCUGACCCUCCGCCAUGUAGCAGACAACCCCCCCUCAGGUGAGAUGUAUUUCCCUAAACUCCCUCUUGUCCAAGUCACCCCGACAUGUCCAAAGUGCAGCCCUCCGGCAUUUGCCAAACUGCACAUCCAAUCAUUCCCUGAUACACCAAUACUGGUCAAGGGAAUGUUUGGAUGUGUAGUGACGCAAGUGCCGGGGGAUUGCAUUUGGGCCCACUGUAACCUGCUUGUGUCGUGUCGAUUGUACCUCUUCUUUUCAGUACCAGGGUGACACUUUACCAUUAGCUGGAACCUCAUACUGUUCUCUUCCACAGGUCUUGCGGUGUUUCCUUCCCAAGUGGCGUGGAUGUGAAGAGACACACAGUUCCCCUGAUGUUCCAUGGGCGACCAACUUGUGAUGUGGACCUGACCCUCCGUCAUGUAGCAGACAACCCCCCCUCAGGUCUUGCGGUGUUUCCUUCCUAAGUGGCGUGGAUGUGAAGAGACACACAGUUCCCCUGAUGUUCCAUGGGCGACCAACUUGUGAUGUGGACCUGACCCUCCGCCAUGUAGCAGACAACCCCCUCUCAGGUGAGAUGUAUUUCCCUAAACUCCCUCUUGUCCAAGUCACCCCGACAUGUCCAAAGUGCAGCCCUCCGGCAUUUGCCAAACUGCACAUCCAAUCAUUCCCUGAUACACCAAUACUGGUCAAGGGAAUGUUUGGAUGUGUAGUGACGCAAGUGCCGGGGGAUUGCAUUUGGGCCCACUGUAACCUGCUUGUGUCGUGUCGAUUGUACCUCUUCUUUUCAGUACCAGGGUGACACUUUACCAUUAGCUGGAACCUCAUACUGUUCUCUUCCACAGGUCUUGCGGUGUUUCCUUCCCAAGUGGCGUGGAUGUGAAGAGACACACAGUUCCCCUGAUGUUCCAUGGGCGACCAACUUGUGAUGUGGACCUGACCCUCCGUCAUGUAGCAGACAACCCCCCCUCAGGUCUUGCGGUGUUUCCUUCCUAAGUGGCGUGGAUGUGAAGAGACACACAGUUCCCCUGAUGUUCCAUGGGCGACCAACUUGUGAUGUGGACCUGACCCUCCGCCAUGUAGCAGACAACCCCCCCUCAGGUCUUGCGGUGUUUCCUUCCCAAGUGGCGUGGAUGUGAAGAGACACACAGUUCCCCUGAUGUUCCAUGGGCGACCAACUUGUGAUGUGGACCUGACCCUCCGCCAUGUAGCAGACAACCCCCCCUCAGGUCUUGCGGUGUUUCCUUCCCAAGUGGCGUGGAUGUGAAGAGACACACAGUUCCCCUGAUGUUCCAUGGGCAACCAACUUGUGAUGUGGACCUGACCCUCCGCCAUGUAGCAGACAACCCCCCCUCAGGUCUUGCGGUGUUUCCUUCCCAAGUGGCGUGGAUGUGAAGAGACACACAGUUCCCCUGAUGUUCCAUGUGCGACCUACUUCUGUACAAUUCAACUUCAUAUCAAAUAUUUUUUAAUAAAAACCACAGAAAACUUCUCUUUUUAAAAAUUUAUUGAAGAAAAAUUGUAUUUGAUUAUUGAAAUAAAAAUUGAAAGGUAAUAAAAC